rnacentral:rRNA from 1 species
UACGUAGGGUGCAAGCGUUAAUCGGAAUUACUGGGCGUAAAGCGUGCGCAGGCGGUUUUGUAAGACUGUCGUGAAAUCCCCGGGCUUAACCUGGGAAUUGCGAUGGUGACUGCAAGGCUAGAGUUUGGCAGAGGGGGGUAGAAUUCCGCGUGUAGCAGUGAAAUGCGUAGAGAUGCGGAGGAACACCGAUGGCGAAGGCAGCCCCCUGGGCCAAUACUGACGCUCAGGCACGAAAGCGUGGGGAGCAAACAGG